CAUCAUGAUUUACAUUUGAGUGAGUGGCGAACUGGUGAGUAACACGUGGGAAACCUGCCCAGAAGCGGGGGAUAACACCUGGAAACAGAUGCUAAUACCGCAUAACAACUUGGACCGCAUGGUCCGAGCUUGAAAGAUGGCUUCGGCUAUCACUUUUGGAUGGUCCCGCGGCGUAUUAGCUAGAUGGUGGGGUAACGGCUCACCAUGGCAAUGAUACGUAGCCGACCUGAGAGGGUAAUCGGCCACAUUGGGACUGAGACACGGCCCAAACUCCUACGGGAGGCAGCAGUAGGGAAUCUUCCACAAUGGACGAAAGUCUGAUGGAGCAACGCCGCGUGAGUGAAGAAGGGUUUCGGCUCGUAAAACUCUGUUGUUAAAGAAGAACAUAUCUGAGAGUAACUGUUCAGGUAUUGACGGUAUUUAACCAGAAAGCCACGGCUAACUACGUGCCAGCAGCCGCGGUAAUACGUAGGUGGCAAGCGUUGUCCGGAUUUAUUGGGCGUAAAGCGAGCGCAGGCGGUUUUUUAAGUCUGAUGUGAAAGCCUUCGGCUCAACCGAAGAAGUGCAUCGGAAACUGGGAAACUUGAGUGCAGAAGAGGACAGUGGAACUCCAUGUGUAGCGGUGAAAUGCGUAGAUAUAUGGAAGAACACCAGUGGCGAAGGCGGCUGUCUGGUCUGUAACUGACGCUGAGGCUCGAAAGUAUGGGUAGCAAACAGGAUUAGAUACCCUGGUAGUCCAUACCGUAAACGAUGAAUGCUAAGUGUUGGAAGGGUUUCCGCCCUUCAGUGCUGCAGCUAACGCAUUAAGCAUUCCGCCUGGGGGAGUACGGCCGCAAGGCUGAAACUCAAAGGAAUUGACGGGGGCCCGCACAAGCGGUGGAGCAUGUGGUUUAAUUCGAAGCUACGCGAAGAACCUUACCAGGUCUUGACAUACUAUGCAAAUCUAAGAGAUUAGACGUUCCCUUCGGGGACAUGGAUACAGGUGGGUGCAGGGUUGUCGUCAGCUCGUGUCGUGAGAAGUUUGGGUUAAGUCCCCCCACCAAGCGCAACCCUUAUUAUCAUUUGCCACCAUUAAAUUGGGCCUCCUGGUGAGACUGCCGGUGACAACCCGAGGAAGGGGGGGGGUGGAAUUCAAAUAUUAAUGCCCCCU
rnacentral:rRNA from 2 species